AAGGCACCAGGUCAGGCAGACUACCCACUGAAUUUAAGCAUAUCAAUAAGUGGAGGAAAAGAAACUAUAAGGGUUCCCCUAGUAACGGUGAGCGAGCCGGGAAUAGCCCAGCUUGAAAAUCGUGCAGCAUCACCGCUUAAAUUAUAGUCUGGAGAAGCGUCCUAAGCGGUGGACCGGGCCCAAGUCCCCUGGAAGGGGCGUCGGAGAGCGUGAGAGCCCCGUUGUGCCUGGACCCUGUCACACCACGAGGCACUGUCGGCGAGUCGGGUUGUUUGGGAAUGCAGCCCCAAUCGGGUGGUAAAUUUCAUCUAAUACGGGAGAGAGACCGAUAGCAAACAAGUACCACGAGGGAAAGAUGAAAAGGAAUUUGAAAAGAGAGUCAAAGAGUACUUGAAAUUAUCGGGAGGGAAGCAGAUGGGGGCCGACGAUGCGCCCUGAUCGGAUGUGAAACGGCGACAGUCGGUCCGUCAAUCGGCUCGGUGCAUGGACCGGUGCAGAUUGUGGCGGAGGCCAAAGCCCAGGCGAUCGUAAAGCCCGCAGAGACACCUUCACCUCGAUCGUGGCUGGCAGCGCGCACCCGCAAAGGCGUGCUUCGGCAUCUGCACGCUCCCGGCAUCGAUCGGUCUUGAAACACGAACCAAGGAGUCUGACAUGUGUACGAGUGAACGAGCGAGUAAACCCGUAAGGCACGAGGAAGCUGAUUGGUGUGGGACCCCCCAGUGGGUUGCAUCGCUGACCGACCUUGAUCUUCUGAGAAGGGUUCGGGUGCAAGCAUGCUUGUCAGGACCCGAAGAUGGUGAACCAUGCCUGAGCAGGGCGAAGCCAGAGGAAACUCUAGUGGAGGCCCGCAACGAUACUGACGUGCAAAUUAUUCGUUUGACUUGGUUAUAGGGGUAAAAAACUAAUUGAACCGUCUAGUAGCUGGUUCCCUUUGAAGUUUCCGUCAGGAUAGCUGGAGCCCAAGUGCGAGUUCUAUCAGGUAAAGCCAAUGAUUAGAGGAAUCCGGGCCACAAUGCCCUUGACCUAUUCUCAAACUUUAUAUAGGUAAGGCGGCGUGGCUGCUCCGAUAAGCCGUGACACGGAAUCGAGAGCUCGAAGUGGGCCAUUUUUGGUAAGCAGAACUGGUGAUGCGAGAUGAACCGGAAGUCGGGUUACGGUGCCCAACUGUGCUCUAACCUAGAACCCAUAAAGGGUGUUGGUCGAUUAAGACAGCAGGACGAUUGUCAUGGAAGUCGAAAUCCACUAAGGAGUGUGUAACAAAUCACCUGCCGAAUCAACUAGCCCCGAAAAAUGGAUGGCGCUGAAGCGCGCAACCUAUACCAGGCCGUCGGGGCAAGUGCCAGGCCCCAAUGAGUAGGAGGGCAUAGCGAUCGCUAUAAAACCUUGGGCGCGAGCCCAGGCGAAGUGCGGAUCUUGGUGGUAAUAGCAAAUAUUCAAAUGAGAACUUUGAAGGCCAAAGAUAGGAAAGGUUCCAUGUGAACGGCACUUGCACAUGGGUUAGUCGAUCCUAAGAGUUGGGGGAAGCCCGACACAGAGCGCAUCCAGCGUAAGAGUCGAAAGGGAAUCAGGUUAAAAUUCCUGAACCAAAACGUGGCAGUUGACGGCAACAAUAGGGAGUCCGGAGACGUCAGCGGGGGCCUCGGGAAGAGUUAUCUUUUCUAUUUAACAGCCUGCCCACCCUGGAAACGGCUCAGCCAGAGGAAGGGUCCAGUGGCUGGAAGAGCACCGCAAGUCACGUGGUGUCUAGUGCACCCCCAGCGGCCCUUGAAAAUCUGGAGGACCGAGUGCCUCCCAUGCCCGGUCGUACUCAUAACCGCAUCAGGUCUCCAAGGUGAAUAGCCUCUGGCCGAUGGAACAAUGUAGGCAAGGGAAGUCGGUAAAAUAGAUCCGUAUCUUCGGGAAAAGGAUUGGCUCUGAGGGCUGGGCACGGGGGUCCCAGCCCUGAACCUGUCGGCUAUCGGUGGAUUGCUUGAGCUACUCCCGUGGUGAGAGCGGGUCACCGCGUGCUGGCCGGGGGACGGACUAGGAACGGUUCCUCGCGGGGCCUUCCCCGAGCGCCGAACAGUCGACUCAGAAUUGGUACGGACAAGGGGAAUCCAACUAUUUAAUUAAAACAAAGCAUUGCGAUGGUCCAUGCGGAUGCUCACGCAAUGUGAUUUCGGCCCAAUGCUCUGAAUGUCAAAGUGAAUAAAUUCAACCAAGCGCAGGUAAAUGGCAGGAGUAACUGUGACUCUCUUAAGGUAGCUAAAUGCCUCGUCAUCUAAUUAGUGACGGGCAUGAAUGGAUUAACGAGAUUCCCACUGUCCCUGUCUACUAUCCAGCGAAACCACAUCUAAGGGAACGGGCUUGGUAGAAUCAGUGGAGAAAGAAGACCCUAUUGAGCUUGACUCUAAUCCGACUUUAUGAAAUGACUUAAGAGGCAUAGGAUAAGUGGGAGCCAGAGACAGUGAAACUAAAAUACCACUACUUUUAACGUUAUUUUACUUAUUCCGUGAAUCGAAGACGGGGCACUGCCCCUCUUUUUGGACCCAAGGCUCACCACGGUGGGCCGAUCCGAGCAGAAGACAUUGUCAGGUGGGGAGUCUUGCCGGGGUGGCAUAUCUGUUAAAAGAUAAUGCAGGUGUCCUAAGAUAAGCUUAACGAGAAUAGAAAUCUCGUGUGGAACAGAAAGGUAAAAGCUCGUUUGAUUCUGAUUUCUAGUACGAAUACAAACAAUGAAAGCGUGGCCUAACGAUCCUUUAGACCUUUGGAAUUUGAAGCUAGAGGUGUUAGAAAAGUUACCAUAGGGAUAACUGGCUUGUGGCAGCCAAGCGUUCAUAGCGACGUUGCUUUUUGAUCCUUUGAUGUCGGCUCUUCCUAUCAUUGUGAAGCAGAAUUCACCAAGUGUUGGAUUGUUCACCCACCAAUAGGAAACGUGAGCUGGGUUGAGACCAUCAUGAGACAGGUUAGUUUUACGAGAGGAACCAUUGAGGAACCAUGUCGUAAUAGUAAUUCAACCUAGUAUGAGAGGAACCGUUGAUUCGUACAAUUGGUCACCGCGCUUGGUUGAAAAGCUAGUGGCACGAAGCUACCGUGCGGUGGAUUAUGACUGAACGUCUCUAAGUCAGAAUCCAGGCUAGAAGCGAUGCAUGCAUCCGCCGUUCAUUUGCCGACCAGCAGUAGGUGCCAUUCGGCCCCCAAAGACGUAUAUCGUAGGCGCCACACGGGCCGUCUUAAAGUUCAAUUCUUAUCGAGCGACUAGUAGAAUCCUUUGCAGAUGACUUAAAUACGCGACGAGGUAUUAUAAGUGGCAGAGUGGCCUUAUUGCCACGAUCCACUGAGAUUCAGCCCUUCAUCGCUUCGAUUCGU
rnacentral:rRNA from 1 species